AGUCAACGGCAGCACGGACUUCGUCUGUGGCGAGUGGCGAACGGGUGAGUAAUGUAUCGGAACGUGCCUAGUAGCGGGGGAUAACUACGCGAAAGCGUAGCUAAUACCGCAUACGCCCUUCGGGGGAAAGUGGGACCUCGGGCCUUCGCACUAUUAGAGCGGCCGAUAUCGGAUUAGCUAGUUGGUGGGGUAACGCUCACCAAGGCGACGAUCCGUAGCUGGUUUGAGAGGACGACCAGCCACACUGGGACUGGGAGACACGCCCAGACUCCUACGGAGUGCAGCAGGUGGGGAAUUUUUGACAAUGGGGGAAAACCCUGAUCCAGCCAUCCCGCGUGUGCGAUGAAGGCCUUCGGGUUGUAAAGCACUUUUGGCGGAGGCGAAAUGGCACGGGAUAAUACCCCGUGCAACUGACGGUGCCCGCAGAAUAUGACUGCUAACUACGUGCCAGCAGCCGCGGUAAUACGUAGGGUGCAAGCGUGUUAAUCGGAAUUACUGGGCGUAAAGCGUGCGCAGGCGGUUCUGAAAGAAAGAUGAAACUCAGAGCUUAACUUUUGAACUGCAUUUUUAACUACCGAGCUAGAGUGUGUCAGAGGGAGGUGGAAUUCCGCGUGUAGCAGUGAAAUGCGUAGAUAUGCGGAGGAACACCGAUGGCGAAGGCAGCCUCCUGAUAACACUGACGCUCAUGCACGAAAGCGUGGGAGCAAACAGGAUUAGAUACCCUGGUAGUCCACGCCCUAAACGAUGUCAACUAGCUGUUGGGGCCCUCUGGCCUUGCAGCGCUAACGCGUGAAGUUGACCGCCUGGGGAGUACGGUCGCAAGAUUAAAACUCGCAUGAAUUGACGGGGACUCGCAAUAAGCGGUGGAUGAUGUGGAUUAAUUCGAUGCAACGCGAAAACCUUACCUACCCUUGACAUGUCUGGAAUCCCGAAGAGAUUUUCCAGGAGUGCUCGCAAGAGAACCGGAAACACAGGUGCUGCAUGGCUGUCGUCAGCUCGUGUCGUGAGAUGUUGGGUUAAGUCCUGCAACGAGCGCAACCCUUGUCAUUAGUUGCUACGAAAGGGCACCUAAUGAGACUGCCGGUAUCAAACCGGAGGAAGGUGGGGAUGACGUCAAGUCCUCAUGGCCCUUAUGGGUAGGGCUUCACACGUCAUACAAUGGUCGGGACAGGUGGUCGCCAACCCGCGAGGGGAGCCAAUCCCAGAAACCCGAUCAGUCCGGAUCGCAGUCUGCAACUCGACUGCGUGAAGUCGGAAUCGCUAGUAAUCGCGGAUCAGCAUGUCGCGGGUGAAUACGUUCCCGGGCCUGUACACACCGCCCGUCACACCAUGGAGUGGGUUUUACCAGAGUGAAGCCAGCCUAACCGUAAGGAGUGGCGAUUACCACGGUAGGAUUCAUGGGAUCGGGGUGAAGUCGUAACAAGGCAA
rnacentral:rRNA from 1 species